rnacentral:rRNA from 1 species
GUGGGGAAUAUUGGACAAUGGGCGAAAGCCUGAUCCAGCCAUGCCGCGUGUGUGAAGAAGGUCUUCGGAUUGUAAAGCACUUUAAGUUGGGAGGAAGGGCAGUAAGUUAAUACCUUGCUGUUUUGACGUUACCGACAGAAUAAGCACCGGCUAACUUCGUGCCAGCAGCCGCGGUAAUACGAAGGGUGCAAGCGUUAAUCGGAAUUACUGGGCGUAAAGCGCGCGUAGGUGGUUUUGUAAGUGGGAGGUGAAAUCCCCGGGCUCAACCUGGGAACUGCUUUCAAAACUGCUGAGCUAGAGUACGGUAGAGGGUGGUGGAAUUUCCUGUGUAGCGGUGAAAUGCGUAGAUAUAGGAAGGAACACCAGUGGCGAAGGCGACCACCUGGACUGAUACUGACACUGAGGUGCGAAAGCGUGGGGAGCAAACAGGAUUAGAUACCCGGGUAGUCC